CGGGGGGAGCAGGCGUUGUUCGGAUUUACUGGGCGUAAAGGGCGCGUAGGCGGCCACCGCAAGUCGACUGUGAAAUCUCCGGGCUUAACCCGGAAAGGUCAGCCGAUACUGCGGGGCUAGAGUGCAGAAGGGGCAACUGGAAUUCUCGGUGUAGCGGUGAAAUGCGUAGAUAUCGAGAGGAACACCUGCGGCGAAGGCGGGUUGCUGGGCUGACACUGACGCUGAGGCGCGAAAGCUAGGGGAGCGAACGGGAUUAGAUACCCCGGUAGUCCUAGCCUUAAACGAUGAAUGCUUGGUGUCUGGGGUUUUAUAGUCCCCGGGUGCCGUCGCUAACGCUUUAAGCAUUCCGCCUGGGGAGUACGGUCGCAAGACUG
rnacentral:rRNA from 1 species